rnacentral:rRNA from 1 species
CACGAGUGGCGAACGGGUGAGUAACACGUGGGUGACCUGCCCUGUACUUCGGGAUAAGCCUGGGAAACUGGGUCUAAUACCGGAUAUGACCUUCUCCUGCAUGGGGGUUGGUGGAAAGUUUUUGCGGUACAGGAUGGGCCCGCGGCCUAUCAGCUUGUUGGUGGGGUAAUGGCCUACCAAGGCGACGACGGGUAGCCGGCCUGAGAGGGCGACCGGCCACACUGGGACUGAGACACGGCCCAGACUCCUACGGGAGGCAGCAGUGGGGAAUAUUGCACAAUGGGCGAAAGCCUGAUGCAGCGACGCCGCGUGAGGGAUGACGGCCUUCGGGUUGUAAACCUCUUUCAGUAGGGACGAAGCGCAAGUGACGGUACCUACAGAAGAAGCACCGGCCAACUACGUGCCAGCAGCCGCGGUAAUACGUAGGGUGCGAGCGUUGUCCGGAUUUACUGGGCGUAAAGAGCUCGUAGGCGGUUUGUCACGUCGUCUGUGAAAACCCGAGGCUUAACCUCGGGCCUGCAGGCGAUACGGGCAGACUUGAGUACUGUAGGG